UAACAGUAUAAGUUGCCUAAAAUAUAUAUAUUAGUGUAAGACACUUGUUCAUACUCUUUUCAAAUUUGUACUAAAAAAUAACGUUGAUCAACUUAAUAUAAUACAAAUAAGAUCAUAAAAAGAUCCACCGGGCGUGCAAAGUUCAAUCAAGAUCAUAAUGAUCUUCUAGUCAACUCGAACGUACAGAAAGAAAUACAAACAGAAAUAGGUAUUCAUACGUAUAGAACUCAGCAGGGAUAUUCAUACUGAUACAACUCAGCAGAAAUAACGAUAUUACGCCUGUAUAACUGCGUCUUGCAAAUUCUUCCUUUUCAAUUGAUCUAGCUAGUUUGCAGUUGAGUCUUUGUUUCACCGCGGAUUUGUAGGCCUGGCCUCAAAGGUUACUCUUAGAACAGAGCAAAGGAUCUCCUGUAUGAAUCAAAAAGACACAAAUAUACAACUGUGAUAGAGGAGACCAUCUAUCUGAAUGCCCUUUACUCAUCCCUUAUUCAAAAAAUUAUAAAGAACAUAUCACCUCAUUCGUGAAAAUAUAAACAGAAUAACUAGUUCGACAAGUUACCACAUGAAACCAUGUAAAGCAGCCAUUAAAAUCUUUCUACCUGUGUUGAUUUCUUACAACAUUACAAACCUAAGAGAACAACCCACUACAACGCACUAAGUAUUAACUUCAGCUAAAAACGUUUAGUAAAACUAAAAAGGCACAACCAAGAAUUCCACCUCUAAAGCUGGAGAGAAUUUUAAUUCAAAGAUGAUGUGAAAUGCACCACGUAAUGAGCUGAAAGUACUUUACUACUCCCUGAACAACUGUUAACUCUAUCUAAAAUACAUAGUACCAAUUUUAACAGGGAUUGUGAUUGAACAGAAGGAUUAAGCCGUAAAAUGGAUUCCCACUUGGCACCGUCAACAACUAAAAUAAACAUUUGAAGGUAGAAAGAAAAACAGGAAUAUAGAAAAUAACGCAUACUAGGAAAAAUUAAUUUGUUUGAUUACUACUGAUGUGCGCAAUGUUAAAAUCCUAAUGAAAUCAUUCAGUCAAGAACAUGUGAAAAAUAAUUAAAGAAAUGCCUCUGGUCCAUUAAAGAAGUAAAAGAGCGCGGAAAACCAUAUUGUCAAUAAAAAGAUAUUCUGGGAGGGACACACAUCAUCUAUAUGAUGAUUCAAAAAGAUCGCAAGAAAUUUAUUUAUUUAUUAAUUCUUGACAAAUUGUAAUAUAUACAAAGAUCGGAGAAUACAAUGUCUGGAUGAACAGAAUUUUAGUUAGAUUUUAUUAGGAAACAAAAGCAAGCACUUGAAAUCCUCAUUUUCUUUGUUAGUUUUGCAAUAUUAUUAGUUGCAGUGGUCAAGUUUUCAUAUAAAGCUUUUCAUUUUGCAAAUUUAUCAGCCCAGAAAAUCUAACGAGAUCACAGAAGCCUGAUACUCAUUUAUUUAAUAUUUACUAAUGUUAUUGUACCCUUAAAGGUUAUGCAAGUUUUUGUCAGUCACAUAUUCCAAUGGAUGAGCCUGUUCAUGAGUAAAAACUAGAGUUUGGUCAGGUUGCUCCAGAGCUAAAAGGAGAAAAUAAUAUAACGAAGGUCCAUACAGAGUAUCGUCCACCCAAAAAUAUAGAGAUAUCAUAUGUACUUAUCCACAUUCUACAGUGGGCCUUUGUCCACAAUACGCGAUGCAGGCCGAAUUCUACCUAUGCAUGUACUGAUCUUCAAUGCACAAGGGACAGCUCCCGCCUCCUAGUUGAUAUCAGUGACACGGGUUCACUGCCUGGUCAUUAAAUUUACCCUGCUUAACUUUUUCUUAAAUCUUCAAGUGAAUAAUCUCUAUACCCAUUAAUUUUCAUAUAUAACUACUCCCGAAUUCCUUUUGUCAUGUAAAGACGAAAAUAAAUUUAAAUCCAAAAAUAAUAAUUCCCACUCCUUGAAGCACAAGCUCUAUUUUCUUUUUCUCCUUUAGCUAGUCUAGUAAUUUAAUUCUUCUAUAUUUUCAAAAAAUAUAAAAUUAAAAAUCCACUUAUCAACACAUCCACAGUCUAAUAUAAUCCACUUCUUUAAAUUUAUAAGUAAAUCAGUUCAGAUUUCUACAAGUCACUUCCUUUGGCUACCUCGAAGCUUUGAAAGUGAGCCACCUAACACAAACACGUCUUGCCACUUUCGUACAUAUCCAGGCCUUUUAUUUUUUUUUCCAGCCUUUUACGCACCCUAUCACCUAUUCUUCUUCUCUUCAUAUUCGCAUUUAUUUUCUCGAACAAAUCUUCUUCGGGCCCCGUAUCCCACUCCUUUCUUUUUGACUCCGCCUCAUUGUGCUUGUGCUACUAUCAUGUUGUUUUCUAUUAAUCCCCAAUAUCAUAUUUCUUUGAUUUCACACAGGUUCGCAUCACUAAUGUUAAGUUCUCCGCCCCGCUGUCUAAUAUAGUUAGGUCACACAUGAAUUGAAUCAAGUAGGUAGGAAUAUAAAAGUACUGCUACUUUUUUGUUCAAGCCAAUCGAACAAUUAAAAGUUCUAUUUUGACUUCGCUUCAAUUGGAUUCAGUUUAUUUAUAGACUUUUGUGGAGGUGUCCUUGUGUUUACAAGCGUCUUGAUGUAUCUUCUUAACAAUUUCACCAAUAAAAAAGAAAAAAAGAGCAAGCAUGUCCAUUUUCAUGAAGACAAGCACAUGAAUGCGAUCCACCAAAAGAGGAAAAACAUGUGCAUAUGUAUGUGUACCGCAUGGAUAUGAAUAAUAGUGCGAACAUAGUUUAACUACAAAUAUAGAGGUAGAGUUACAUACCUCGAUUAAUGUCUUGUGAAAAAAGAGGAUGAACCAGAUGAAUACAAAGAACUUAGACGAGAUACUGAGUGUCUAAGAUGGAUGAUCGAAGCCAACCCAAAUUUUGGAAUUUCUUGCGAGAAUAUUUAGAAGAGCCCUUACUUGAACAAGGGGUUAAUUAGAAGAAGCAGGCGGUGAAAUUGUUAACAAGAUACAUCAAGACGCUUGUGAACACAAGGAGACCUCCACAAAAGUUUAUAAAUAAACUGAAUCCAAUUAAAGCGAAGUCAAAAUAGAACUUUAAUUGUUCGAUUGGCCUGAACAAAAAAGUAGCGGUACUUAUAUAUUGCUACCUACUUGAUUUAGAUCAUGUGUGACCUAAUUAUAUUAGACAGCGGGGCAUAACAUUAGAAAGGCAAGCCCACGUCAAAUUUGAAAAGGAAAAGAACUAAAAAUGAUAUAUCACUAACUCGGUAACGCAUGCCUACAAUAUGCUUCCAUUUAAACUUUAAGUGAAGAAUGACACCCACUAUAUAUUACUUUUUGACUUCUAAUAAAGAUGGGCUAGAAAAGAAAAUAAGAAUGUGAUUAUCGUAAGGAAUAUAAGCUCUCAAGUGGUUAUCCUUGCGUGUUUUUAUUAUUCGUUAUUAUAAAGUUGUGAGUAAUGGUUAAAGGCAAUUCUAAUAUAAUAAGCUAGAAGGCAGGGAUUCUUAAUGAACCCGCAACACUGCGCACUUAAUUUUUGGUUCUUGUUUAAUAAUUAAUUUUGUAAUUAGUUAAUUACUUAUUCACUUAACUACUUUAUAAUGCAGCAAUUGUGCUAUCAAAUAAUUAUUAUAUAAAUUGUUAAGAAUAAACUUAAUUUUUGAUUAUUUAGUUUAAAUAUAUAUGACUCUUAAAAUACAUGCAUAAUAUAUAUUUUUAAUAUAUUAUUAUUUGCCGAAUCCCCAUAUUUUAAAUUUGUCAAAUUCUCGUAUCCCCGUACCGCGCACUCCCGCGCCCACACUCAUGCUUCCUAGAUUAUAAGCAACAAUAGUUUAGGCAUAUAAUAUAUGCUACCUACUUGUGUUACGAGCAAAUAUAUAAAGCUUAAAUGAUUUCAUCCUAAUCACUUUAGAGCAAGUCCAACAGCUGCCCUAUUUAGUGUCCUAAGUCAUAAUAUAGGGCAUUUGAUGAAAAAACUUGACCCAACAAUGUCCUAGUGAUGCCAUAUAUCACUAGGACAACCCAUUCAAGCCUUAUUUUUGAGGCACUCUCUCUCCUUGCCCUAUCCCAUAUUUCAUAAUAAAUUCUUACCAACACUCUCUUUCUAUCUCUAUUUUAUAUUAUGUUUUAAUGAUGAAAGUGAACUUUUAAUAAUAAAAUAUUAAACAUAUAGUGAAAAUAAGGCUCAUUGUUGGAGUUGAAAUUAGUAGAAUAUGUCCUAAACUACUAGGAUAUAAUUUUUUAUAUUAUAUUUAGGGCUCCAACUAGGACACUGUUGGACUUGCUCUUAUGCAAAGUACAGUAAAACCUUGAUUAAUUAAUAAUCCGUGAUAAAUUAAUAUUUGAACUAAGGUUUUUUUCCCCAAAAAUAAUAGUGACAGUAUAUAUUUAACCUCAAUUAUUUAAUAAUCUCGAUAAAUUGAUAAAAUUUAGCAAUCCAGACGUAUUAAUUGAUAGAGGUCUUACUGUACUAGAGAAAAGACACAAGAAAAUGUAGUUCUUCUGUCUUAGUACAACCUUUAUUCGUGUUUAUUUUGUCUUCCCCCUUUCCCCAUCUUAUUGAACUAUAUGUCUCUUGUUUACUUUUUUGUAUCUAUACUAUAUACACACUACUUUUCACAGAACAGAGCAUCAACUCGACCUUGAUUUGGACUUGAUAAAAGAUAUUCCCAAAACGUGAUAUGAACAUAAUUUAUCAUACCUGUAAUUCAUAGUUCACAACAUUUUGUUCAGCUCAAUCCUGUGGAGAGUGGAGGUCAUCAAAAAGCCCAUCGAGCUGAGAGGAAAGAGGUGGAGAAGUUUCAUGAAACACAUUUGAUUUCACAUCAUAAGCAACUAUUUCUUCUACCAAUGUCAGGUUUUCAAGGUAUGGUUUUCCACCUCAAACACAAAAAACUGUGACAGCCUUCUGCAACAUUCAGAAAUAUAUACGGUUAAAAUACUAAUGGCAGCCAGCAGAAACCAAAGUCCUUUUAAUUACUUAAUUUAAAUCUACAUACAAUUGGAUUGAAUAAUGGGAUACAAUAUUCAUCAGUAUGAAUCACAAAGACCGAAACAUAUCUAAUGAGUAAUGCCGCAGAAGCUAAUGCCUGAAACAAAGACAAUGAAAGUAAUGACUAAUAUGAUUUCACAUCAUAAGCAACUAUUUCUUCUACCAAUGUCAGGUUUUCAAGGUAUGGUUUUCCACCUCAAACACAAAAAACUGUGACAGCCUUCUGCAACAUUCAGAAAUACUGAAACAUGAAUAACUCUUUUAAUUUGUCAAUUAAUACCCCUUUCUAGUACUCAGAGUUUAAAACCCAAAAUACUGCAGCUGAUAAAGCAAGAAAUACAGCUUACAAGACAUCAAUUGCAGUGAAAAACAAGAAACAAUUUAUAUGAUUAGAUUGCAGAAGAAUUUAAGGAAAUCAAUAAAAAGUAAAAACCGAGAACAAACAAACAUUAUGAUUAAGAUAUCAGACCUUACUCAAACGCUCGGAAGAUUGAACAAUCAAGAAUUCAGACAGGCCGCGAGUACGAAAGUGGAAACAAUUGCCCGCAUAACAUUCAGAAGUAUUUGACGAGGUUUAGGUUUCCCGCGAAGAUGUUUGGCGCCGAUGUCAGGCCCGCUUACUGUUUUUACUACUUGAACAGAAUUGGGUGGGUCGGGUAUGCAAUUAAUAAUCUAGUACUAAUUGAAUUUUGAGGCUCAAAGUAUGGGGCGAUGUGAAGUCAAAGCCCAAUGUCUCCCUACGAAAUCCAGUCAAUUAAUUUAUACUCUAUGGGCCGGUUUUGUUUAAAAAACUUUUAAGUACUUAUAAAGUUUUUCCUUUAAAAAAAGGUACUUAUAAAUUUGUUUAUAAGUUAUAAGUGAAAAUUAG
rnacentral:lncRNA from 1 species